rnacentral:rRNA from 1 species
UACGUAGGGUGCAAGCGUUAAUCGGAAUUACUGGGCGUAAAGCGUGCGCAGGCGGCUUUGCAAGACAGAUGUGAUAUCCCCGGGCUUAACCUGGGAACUGCAUUUGUGACUGCAUGGCUGGAGUGCGGCAGAGGGGGAUGGAAUUCCGCGUGUAGCAGUGAAAUGCGUAGAUAUGCGGAGGAACACCGAUGGCGAAGGCAAUCCCCUGGGCCUGCACUGACGCUCAUGCACGAAAGCGUGGGGAGCAAACAGG